AAAAACGUGUUGCGGCUGUGAAGCGGGCCAAGCAAUUAACGGGAGGAGGCCGGGUGGACCCAAGCCUUGAACUGACGGCAUUUGAGGAGCGAGUGGCUGGUCUCAUUGGGUCUCCGUCCAUUUCGGGCAUAAGUGGCGGAGGAGACACCGAUGCACUCCAGACCCGUCAUGGAAGUGAUGAAAUGCAAGCAGGUUCAUCCACAAUGGGAACAGAGCCAAGCCCAGUUGAAGAAACGGAAGGGCCGCCACCGCCUAAGGACCCGGAACGCGUGUCUGACCGAAGUGCUGGUCUGCAAUCAUCGGUCUUGACUGCUGAGGUCCUGGACAAACAAACCGAGAUAUGCAGGUCAACGGUGGACAUCAAUAACUCUCUGUUAGCGAUUCAUGAAACGUUGAAACUAAUCAAUGAAAACUUGAAGAAUAAAUAAAUUGGUUUGCUGUACUUUGA